UUUGAGUUGGCGUAGCGAUAACCUGCGCUCCUGUUACUUCUGCGUAUAGUCCAAUCCACGUGCGAAUGUGUAGGUGUGGUUAUUCUCAGUAGUUGUGAGGUUAAUGCUAGUGUGAGUGUGUUACAGAUCAAAACAAAACCGAAGAAACGUCAAAAGAACUACCGUUGUACGAUUAAAUCCCCAGCUUUUUUGGAUGUUUUUCUGUGCUUACUGAUGACGGUCUCUUUGAACUAGAUUAAUAAAGGUAAGAAAAAUGCAUUGCUGUACUAGUUCUAAUAUUAAUGUUAUAUUUUUUUCAUUUUCAGCUGCUUAAUUUUCUGCCAGGAAUCAGAUUCCAGCCUUGAUAUUUUUUGAAGCAGAACUGGACUUUUAUUUAAAAUAUAUAUUCUUUCCAAAUUUGCUCGAUUCAGGUGCUGCCAAUUUACUUCCUAAAUUCUGCAACCUGAUUUAUUUUGCAUAUCCUUUCGGAACGGUUUUAUCUCAACAGUCAAGGAUUUUAGUUUUUGACAGACAGCGACUUAAAAAUGGAUUCAGUUGAGGCACAGAGGAGAUACAACGAAAAACUUCGCUUAUGUAAAGGUGUCGAUCCUUUGACAAUGUCAACCUCUACAACUGAUAUACCACUCAACAUUACGUUCGCCAAAAUUUAUCAAUUCAUGGUCUUGGAUGCCAAUCCAUUCACGGGUCAUGCGAAGGAUUCAGCCAAAGGAAUGGACGCUGUAUUGUACUUUAAAAAUGGUUGGGUAAAAAAUGUAUCCGGAAAGAAAAUUGAUAAUGUUUUUAUUAUUUGCGGAACGGUACAUCACUCAUUUGCUCUAAAUGAAUCUUCACUGAAACCAUGGAUUGUAUCAGAAGAAAAUGGAAAGAUAUUAGCAGCACACUGUACGUGCGCUAUAGGCAUAACGGAAUCGUGCAGCCAUAUAGGUGCAACACUGUUUGCUCUAGAUGGUAUAAG